AGACCCGAAACCCGGUGAUCUAGCCAUGGGCAGGUUGAAGGUUGGGUAACACUAACUGGAGGACCGAACCGACUAAUGUUGAAAAAUUAGCGGAUGACCUGUGGCUGGGGGUGAAAGGCCAAUCAAACCGGGAGAUAGCUGGUUCUCCCCGAAAGCUAUUUAGGUAGCGCCUCGUGAAUUCAUCUCCGGGGGUAGAGCACUGUUUCGGCUAGGGGGCCAUCCCGGCUUACCAACCCGAUGCAAACUGCGAAUACCGGAGAAUGUUAUCACGGGAGACACACGGCGGGUGCUAACGUCCGUCGUGAAGAGGGAAACAACCCAGACCGCCAGCUAAGGUCCCAAAGUCAUGGUUAAGUGGGAAACGAUGUGGGAAGGCCCAGACAGCCAGGAUGUUGGCUUAGAAGCAGCCAUCAUUUAAAGAAAGCGUAAUAGCUCACUGGUCGAGUCGGCCUGCGCGGAAGAUGUAACGGGGCUAAACCAUGCACCGAAGCUGCGGCAGCGAACGUAUCACCCAAGACAACUUUACGGAGUUGACGAUUGACGGAGCGAAGCG
rnacentral:rRNA from 3 species